rnacentral:rRNA from 1 species
CGGUCCAGACUCCUACGGGAGGCAGCAGUGGGGAAUAUUGGACAAUGGGCGAAAGCCUGAUCCAGCCAUGCCGCGUGUGUGAAGAAGGCUCUAGGGUUGUAAAGCACUUUAAGUUGUGAGGAAGUUACGAUUGCAAAUAGUGGUCGUAAUUGACGUUAGCAACAGAAUAAGCACCGGCUAACUCCGUGCCAGCAGCCGCGGUAA